rnacentral:rRNA from 1 species
CACGGGGGGAGCAAGCGUUGUUCGGAAUCACUGGGCGUAAAGGGCGUGUAGGCGGUCAGGUCAGUGAGAUGUGAAAUCCCCCGGCUUACCCGGGGACCUGCAUCUCAUACUGCCUGGCUUGAGUACGGGAGAGGAUGAGGGAAUUCCUGGUGUAGCGGUGAAAUGCGUAGAUAUCAGGAGGAACACCGGUGGCGAAGGCGCUCAUCUGGCCCGAUACUGACGCUGAGGCGCGAAAGCUAGGGGAG